rnacentral:rRNA from 1 species
GAUGAACGCUGGCGGCGUGCCUAACACAUGCAAGUCGAGCGAACAGACGAGGAGCUUGCUUCUCUGACGUUAGCGGCGGACGGGUGAGUAACACGUGGAUAACCUACCUAUAAGACUGGGAUAACUUCGGGAAACCGGAGCUAAUACCGGAUAAUAUAUUGAACCGCAUGGUUCAAUAGUGAAAGACGGUUUUGCUGUCACUUAUAGAUGGAUCCGCGCCGCAUUAGCUAGUUGGUAAGGUAACGGCUUACCAAGGCAACGAUGCGUAGCCGACCUGAGAGGGUGAUCGGCCACACUGGAACUGAGACACGGUCCAGACUCCUACGGGAGGCAGCAGUAGGGAAUCUUCCGCAAUGGGCGAAAGCCUGACGGAGCAACGCCGCGUGAGUGAUGAAGGUCUUCGGAUCGUAAAACUCUGUUAUUAGGAAAGAACAAAUGUGUAAGUAACUAUGCACGUCUUGACGGUACCUAAUCAAAAAGCCACGGCUAACUACGUG